rnacentral:lncRNA from 1 species
GUGUACCUCCCUCCAAUGUUUCAGGUCCCUAUUCUCUUGUCAGUCCAGUGAAAUUUGGAACAUUCUCCUUCGAUCCAAAAGCCGUCAAUCGCAUUUUAUAUAACCUUCGGAUCAUACCUCUAAACAGAAAGAGAAAAAGGCACAGCUACUAUGUUAUACUGUUCGUGCCAAGGAAAGCUUUAAGGCAGUCCAAUAGCACCGAAUUGAUUCUUUCUUCACCCCUGAAAGGGAGUCAUGAACAGGAAAAGAAAAGACCUCUUGCUCCUGACCCGAACCAUCGGAAGGAAAGAAAGCAUUUGAACAAGACCAAGGACACCAUCACUAAACCAUAUUGAC